AUGCCUGCCCAGUUUCUGAAGGACCUUGUCCUGGAGGCAGAGGUCAGUUUUGGCCCCAUCCAUCCCAACAACUCCCCUCUCCCACCCCACGGAGAAACUGAGAAAACAGAGAGCGGGCCACUCUCUGCCACCUCAUUCAUCACGCAGCUGCCGGCGCACUUACCUGCAGAUGUAAUUGGUCUUGCAGGACUCCUGCAAGCUCAAGCAGUUGGGUUUCUCCCUCUCCUCGUAGGAGCACACGGGCACGAUGGUCUGCCGCCUCCGCUCGGUGCAGGCGAUGUCUCGGCAGGAACAGAAGAGCAUCCCAUAGCUGUGCUUGGCCGGGACCUUGUCAAAGAACUGCCGGAGGGCCUUGUGGCACUUGCGCCGGUUGCAGACGUCAUUGGACAUGCUGGUGGUGCACGGGGUGAUGUAGGCCGACCUGUACUUCUUGCAGGUGUCGUCCAGGUUGCAGGCCUUGGCGGCGUCCAGGCAGUUAUCAGACAAUCUGCUGUUUACUGGCUCAUACGGGGAAUCUUCAAGCAGAUCAUUUCCUAAAAACAACAGAAAGAUUGGGCUCAGAUUGGAAAACAGGCAUAUUUCAGGCAGUUUUUGUUACUGAAUCUGAAUUCUAAUUAUGUUAUGAUUGUGUAACAAAAAGAUGCUGAAACUUUCAAAGAUUUCAAAUGCAUCUAUUUGGCUCUGGUUAUUUCUUUUCAUUCCCUCUGCCUCUGUUGUCCUUGCUCUCCCCAGAGUGCCAUGAAAACAUUGGAGAACAACCCAGGCUCAUCUUGCCAGAAAACUCUCCCACUCUUUGCAAAGGAAGGAAACCAGAGAGGAAGGAAUCAGUGACGUCACAAGACCAGAUUGCCUCCAGGAGCCAAUGGAAGAAAGGUGACCCAAAAGAGCCCCCACUGCCCCGAUUUUUUUUUUCCUCCCAAAACAUGGCAUACGGUCAGAAAGCAGGUAUUAUGGCUAUUAAACAGUCAGCUUCUGAAAUAGGUUUUCAUUAACAGGUUCUGGAGGAAGUAGCAGCUGAGAGGUCAAAUCUGUAUAUUACAGAUUUUCAGCAAGAGUCUCAGUGGAGAAUGAAGGCACUGAAUGUUUGUGUUAGAUUUACAAACAUCAGCCACCUCCUGCACACAAGGACCAAAAAGCUGCCACUGAAAUGGAUGACUGUAACAAGUAGACCUGUCCCUCGGAGUCAUUUCUGUAUGAACCAAGGCUGAACCACACUAGCUGGUUCAAGACUCAGAUCAUCUAAAAUGACAAUUUCCCCGCCCCCCCACAUCUGCCUUUGAUCAGGUUUGGAGGUGGGGGGAUGGUAAAGAUAGAAUAGAUUCCACUGGACUUUUUAUUCGGAAUUUUUUAUCUUGUGUCAGAAUAGAAGGGGAGAAGAGAGAGAGAGAGAAACUCCAGGCAAGACGAAGUGCAAGCUUUCCGAUUAUCCUGUGGAGCCAGUGCUCCUCCUUGGAGGGAAGUCGCAGGUUCCUCGAGGCGGCCUUUAAUGGAUUCUUAACUCCGAUGUUCUGACCAAGUUUCAGAGAGGUCAGCAGGGGUCCCUGGGAUGUCCCUCCACCCCAUCACGGGUUUGCCAACAACCAGGCCCCGACAGUGCUGCUAGGGAGGCAGCAAACACCAGCUGCCGACGUCCCUGAGGGCCCAUGAAAGGUCCUCAUUCUGCAGCUGGGGAGAACUGAGUGGAAGAUGAGGUCAGCCAGACCCCGGGGCCUAGGGGCCCCCUGCCUUCAGGGGCUGGGGGAGGGGAACGGAGCCGGUCGCGCGUACCCUGCAGGCUCUGAUACAUGCUCCAGUAGAUGCGCAGACAGUUCUUCUCCUUCUUCAUGCCCCGCUUGCAGCGGCAGUUGUAAAGGGACUUCUGUUUCAGGGCCUCCAUGGCGCUGCGGCACUCGUCCUUGGCCUCGAGGCCCGAGGUCAAGCUGAAGUUGGUCUCCUUGCCCGCCACGCACUGCCGGAGCGUGCGGUACUUGGUGCUGCAGCUCUGCUCCUUCAGGCACUGAUCGCUGGCUUUCACGCAGUCCAGGCGGUCCCCGCCGCUC
ensembl:lincRNA